rnacentral:lncRNA from 1 species
CUCCCUGAGUUUUAUCUUCUUCUGAAGAACUCCUCCGAUCUCCUCCGUACCUCCCCCAUACUUCGUGUCACUACAACAGAAUUAGGUUAUAGGGACACAUGUUUGGGAUACUUUUGAGUAAGUGUCUCAUUUAUCCUAAAACUUAAAAAAAUAUCUACUAAUGUCUAAAUAUAAAGCCCAAUCCAACUAAAAAUAAAAGAUUACUCUACUCAACCCAUCACACCCAGUUUAUUUGGCCCGAUUACAAAUAGAAAAGGAAAAAAAAAAAAGAAAAAUCAAUUACCAUCUUUUCUUCUCUCUUCACUCAAUCCACUAAAAUUCUAGACGAAGAGCCUUUCCUGUCGUCCUCCUCCGCCACCUCAGCCAACGAGAUAAAAUUUCGGCGGUUGCUAAAUGCUUAAAUAAGUGUUGGUAAAUUAGCAGCACUCUUUUACGUUAUAGCGACACUCUUUAACUGUCACUAUAUACCUAGCGACCACACAUAUAGCAACACUUGUUAAAAGUGUCGGUAAUUUUAGCUAGCAGCACUUUUUUGACAUGUACCUACAUUUAAAAGUAUCGCUAUAGACCGUUUUUAUUAUAGUGUGUCGUCCUCCACUUGAAAUUCACUUUUCUCAUGCGGCGACGUAUCCACUGCUUAAAGAAUAUAUAGCAAAGCUUCUGUAUCAUGUUUUUAAAAUUCUUCUCUACUAAUUUUUCAUUAAUUUUCAUUUCGUAAUUUUUUUUGACCAUAUCCUAUAAAUCUAAGAUAUAUAAAAUACUAAAUGAUGAUUAUCCAUCACUU